rnacentral:lncRNA from 1 species
GCACAGGUCACUGCUCAUCUUCCCCUUCACCAAAAUAGCCCAAAUUCACCCUACCUCACCCCACUCGCCUUCCCCCCUCCUUCCUCUUGCCACAUAGGAGUAACGGGCUCUGACAACAACAAGAUUCCCUACCUCACUCGCCCGUUUUCAAUCUAUCUCACGUGAUUAUAAGGCUCUAGAAGAAGGGUGUAGGAUGAGUGAGAGGCGUCGGAUCGAUUUCAUUCAAUCGGAGCCUCACGUUCAUCACGUGCUCGUUUUAAAGAGAGCCUUAUCCGUUUUCUGGAAGAGGAAGAAAGAAUCCAGAGUUUGGAGAUAAAAAGGAGCAUUUUCGGGAGGUAGUUGGGUUUUUGGUUUUUUUUAGAGACAUUUUUUUGGAAGUUUGGAGAGGUAAAAAAAAUUCUAGAAUUCUUGGUGUUUAUUAGUGUUCAAAAGUUCUUUCUUCUUUCGGAAUGCUCUUUUUGUUUUUAUUUUUUUUGUUACAUAUCAUAACAGAAGAUAUAUACAUAUAUUAUGGAGGUUUCAUAAUUUCAAUGGAUAUUAGUUUAUUUAGCGUCUCGAAAUAAUAGUCUUUGCUUCACUUCGAUUCUAGAUGUUGGUUUAAAAAAUGGAAGUCAUUCGAGAAGUUUGAGGCUGUUGUUGCUCGAAAGUUGGUUCUUUACUGUUGUUUACUUUUUCUUGGUCGAUUUCAGUAUGGUGCUAGUUCAGUCUCUUAAUUCCAGGUUUUUCUCUUCUUCGGUUUAGUUCCCCUUGUAAGUCAAUCUUUGAACGAGCUAUAAAAUGGAAUGAAGUUUGAAGCAGUAACUGAGAUUUGUUGCCUUUUCAGUGACUUCCUAUGUGUGCUUAUUAAUGUUCAUAUGGUCUUCUAAUUUCAGAAUUCAUCGAAACGUGUAAUCAUGUGUUCAUCUGCCUCUUCUUUCAGUGUCUGGCUAUAAUCGAUUUCUUUUCUGUGUGUAAACGUUUAAGGUUUGAUUUCCAAAUGGUUUGAAGGUUAACUCUGAUUUCCAAUGAUCUGUUUUCACCUUGGAUAAGCUUGUGAUCAUUUAAGUUUUCAAACAUUGAUUUCCCUUAACUAGACGGGUAAAACUUGGUAGCUUUCUAAUUCUCUAAAGUUCUUUGCAAAAUUUCCAUUUGAGAUGGGAUUAAAUAGGAAUCUGUUGGUGUAUUGUUGUCCUUGCAGAGCCAUUUAGUUAUGUGGUUUCGUACUCAAAGGAGCAAUGACAUGUUUAAAAGAAAAUC